CAAGAAUGGAGGUAGCUGGGUCCUGCUGCCCACUCCCCUCAAUGAGGCACUUUCUGCCCUGGACAGUUGCUACAGGUCUGCUGUGCCACUACGAACAGAAAUGAUGGUGGUCCAUAAGGCAAUCUCUAAUAGGAUGUGAUCCACACUCUGAAAAAGAUUGAAAACUCCCCUCCUAUGAAUUGAUUGAGAGGAAGGAUAGUCGGUUGCUAAAGCUCUGGCCUGAGAUUCAGGAGAUCUUCCUGGCUGUGCCACACAUUUCCUCUAUGACUCUGGGGCUGGAAAUCUCAUGGAAAUCUCUCUCGCUCUCAGAUGCCUGGUACUUCCCUCUUUUGGUCAAGUCAGGAGUACCACAAGAACAGACUGUUUCAUAAUAUUUCAACACUUCUGGUUCCAGUCCUGGAAUAACUGGAGCCCCUGUGGCUGUGGAGAAAGCUUCACAAUGUGACCAAGUGCACCCUAAAAGUUCAAAAAG